rnacentral:lncRNA from 1 species
CCUAAAUCAUAUUUCUCACCGAACAAUCUUCCUAUUUUUCACUCUGCUUCGAAUCCUUCCCGCUCCUAGAGUAUCAUCACGAACCUAGGGUUUCCCAGACGCAUUCCUCCUCUUUCGAGUUCUCUUCCUAAGGUCCUUCAUCGAAUCUAUCGUCGUCGUUCACUGUUGUUCUUACAUUCUGUUGCAUUUAAUCGUGGAGGAAACUUCAAGGAGUCCAAACUAUGUUUUCACUUAAGAUUCCAGAUGAUGGAGGGGAAAUGCUCCAGAAUAAUGGCUCGAUGAGAAUAUGAAAAUGACGAGAAGAGACAAUGAACAAUGGCUCGAUGAUAAUGGUUUAUGAUCGAGAGAGAAAGAGAUGAGAGGGGAAGUUGAGAAUGGCUCGAUGAUAGUGGUUUAUGAUCGAGAGAGAAAGGGAUGAGAGGGAAAGUUGAGAGGGAAAGUUGAGAGGGAAAGCUGA